rnacentral:rRNA from 1 species
GACGAACGCUGGCGGCGUGCCUAAUACAUGCAAGUCGAACGCAGUGGGGACGGGUGAGUAACACGUGGGUAACCUUUCAUCAGAGGGGAUAACACUUGGAAACAGGUGCUAAACCGAUACUGAUGGAUGAACCCGCGGUGCAUUAGCUAGUUGGUGAUGUAACGUCUGACCAAGGCCAAGAUGCUUAGCCGCCCUGAGAGGGUGGUAGGCCAAACUGUGGCUGAGACACGGCCCAGACCCCUACGGGGGGCAGACGUAGGGAAUCUACGGCACUGGACGAAAGUCUGACCGAGCAACGCCGCGUGAGUGAUGAAGGUUUUCGGAACGUAAACCUCUGUUGUUGGAGAAGCGCUAUCUAACCAGAAGGCCUCGGCGAACUACGUGCCAGCCCCGCGGUAAUUC